UACGUAGGGGGCAAGCGUUGUCCGGAUUUAUUGGGCGUAAAGAGCGUGUAGGCGGCCAGACAGGUCCGUUGUGAAAACUCGAGGCUCAACCUCGAGACGCCGAUGGAAACCGUCUGGCUAGAGUCCGGAAGAGGAGAGUGGAAGUCCUGGUUGUAGCGGUGAAAUGCGCAGAUAUCAGGAAGAACACCCGUGGCUAAGGCGGCUCUCUAGUACGGUACUGACGCUGAGACGCGAAGCGUGGGGAGCGAACAGG
rnacentral:rRNA from 1 species